GGAAAUAAAACGUGUACCCAAAUGAGCUUACUACAAGUUCAAUGCUCCAUUUACAACUUUUUGAGUUUCACUUUCUUUCGUGAAAUUUCAUACUCCACGUGUCAUAAAUCCGUACUCAACCAAUAGAAUUACAGAAUAGGCCCAUGCAAAAACAAAAAUAGCCCAAAGUGUAAAUAUCUAAAAAUAUGUAGAGUCCAAAAUAAUUAUUCAAGCCCAAAUUCAAACUUCAAAUUAGUCU
rnacentral:lncRNA from 1 species